GACGAACGCUGGCGGCGUGCCUAAUACAUGCAAGUCGAGCGAGUGGAUUAAGAGCUUGCUCUUAUGAAGUUAGCGGCGGACGGGUGAGUAACACGUGGGUAACCUGCCCAUAAGACUGGGAUAACUCCGGGAAACCGGGGCUAAUACCGGAUAACAUUUUGAACCGCAUGGUUCGAAAUUGAAAGGCGGCUUCGGCUGUCACUUAUGGAUGGACCCGCGUCGCAUUAGCUAGUUGGUGAGGUAACGGCUCACCAAGGCAACGAUGCGUAGCCGACCUGGGAGGGUGAUCGGCCACACUGGGACUGAGACACGGCCCAGACUCCUACGGGAGGCAGCAGUAGGGAAUCUUCCGCAAUGGACGAAAGUCUGACGGAGCAACGCCGCGUGAGUGAUGAAGGCUUUCGGGUCGUAAAACUCUGUUGUUAGGGAAGAACAAGUGCUAGUUGAAUAAGCUGGCACCUUGACGGUACCUAACCAGAAAGCCACGGCUAACUACGUGCCAGCCGCCGCUGUAA
rnacentral:rRNA from 1 species